rnacentral:rRNA from 1 species
CCUACGGGAGGCAGCAGUGAGGAAUAUUGGUCAAUGGCCGGAAGGCUGAACCAGCCAAGCCGCGUGAAGGACGAAGGUGCCAAGCAUUGUAAACUUCUUUUGUCAAGGUACAAAAUCAGGCUCGAGAGCCUGACCGAGGGUACUUGAAGAAAAAGCAUCGGCUAACUCCGUGCAAGCAGCCGCGGUAAUACGGAGGAUCCGAGCGUUAUCCGGAUUGAUUGGGUUUAAAGGGAGCGUAGGUGGAUUGUUAAGUCAGUUGUGAAAGUUUGCGGCUCAACCGUAAAAUUGCAGUUGAAACUGGCAGUCUUGAGUAAAGUAGAGGUGGGCGGAAUUCGUGGUGUAGCGGUGAAAUGCUUAGAUAUCACGAAGAACUCCGAUUGCGAAGGCAGCUCACUGGACUGCAACUGACACUGAGGCUCGAAAGUGUGGGUAUCAAACAGGAUUAGAUACCCUAGUAGUC